rnacentral:rRNA from 1 species
GACAGAGGGUGCAAGCGUUGUUCGGAAUUACUGGGCGUAAAGCGUGUGUAGGCGGUCCACUAAGUCGGGUGUGAAAGCCCUGGGCUCAACCCAGGAAGUGCACUCGAAACUGGCGGGCUAGAGUAUCGGAGAGGUUGGUGGAAUUCUCGGUGUAGAGGUGAAAUUCGUAGAUAUCGAGAGGAACACCGGUGGCGAAGGCGGCCAACUGGACGAAUACUGACGCUGAGACACGAAAGCGUGGGGAGCAAACAGG